UGCCAGCCGCCGCGGUAAUACGGAGGAUCCAAGCGUUGUCCGGAUUUAUUGGGUUUAAAGGGUGCGUAGGCGGAUUAAUAAGUCAGUGGUGAAAGCCUGUAGCUCAACUACAGAACUGCCAUUGAAACUGUUAAUCUUGAGUUAGGUCGAGGUGGAUGGAAUGUAUCAUGUAGCGGUGAAAUGCUUAGAUAUGAUACAGAACACCGAUUGCGAAGGCAGUUCACUAGACCUACACUGACGCUGAGGCACGAAAGCAUGGGGAUCGAACAGGAUUAGAUA
rnacentral:rRNA from 1 species